rnacentral:lncRNA from 1 species
UGGCCAAAAUUUCUAAGUUAUAUAUGACAGUAUUUCCUUGGUUAGCCUACGUUACAAUUUGUCAUUUAUAUGGAAAAGAAGACAAAUAGCUUGUGUUCCAAGUUAAGUUUUUGAGUCAUGAUCACCAAUAAGAUGGUUGAGGCUAAGUUACGAGUCUGAUGUGUAGUUAAUCGAGAAAUAUGUUGAACUUUUAAUUCUUCAAUAUAAUCGAAAAACGAUAACAAACACGGAUAUAAAUUGAUAUAUGUUUCAAAACAAUUUUCAAAAAAGUCUAAAACGUCGACGCCCGUCUUCAUAAUAAGUCUAUUUAUGAUCGCUUUCACUUUGAAUUCCCUGAUGCAACCCUACUGCAUAUCAUAAUCAGGAAACCACAACUCAAACCCAGCCUAUGAAUGGUGUUAUGGCGCUAGAUAGCUAUCAAGAUUCUUUGCUUAAUUUUAGUCUUUUAGCGAGCUAGGGUUCAAUUUCCUGUCCAUCCUUCUUAAAAUACCGUCAUC